rnacentral:rRNA from 1 species
AUUGAACGCUGGCGGCAGGCCUAACACAUGCAAGUCGAGCGGAUGAAGGGAGCUUGCUCCUGGAUUCAGCGGCGGACGGGUGAGUAAUGCCUAGGAAUCUGCCUGGUAGUGGGGGAUAACGUCCGGAAACGGGCGCUAAUACCGCAUACGUCCUGAGGGAGAAAGUGGGGGAUCUUCGGACCUCACGCUAUCAGAUGAGCCUAGGUCGGAUUAGCUAGUUGGUGGGGUAAAGGCCUACCAAGGCGACGAUCCGUAACUGGUCUGAGAGGAUGAUCAGUCACACUGGAACUGAGACACGGUCCAGACUCCUACGGGAGGCAGCAGUGGGGAAUAUUGGACAAUGGGCGAAAGCCUGAUCCAGCCAUGCCGCGUGUGUGAAGAAGGUCUUCGGAUUGUAAAGCACUUUAAGUUGGGAGGAAAGGCAGUAAGUUAAUACCUUGCUGUUUUGACGUUACCAACAGAAUAAGCACCGGCUAACUUCGU